rnacentral:rRNA from 1 species
AUUUUAUAUGAGAGUUUGAUCCUGGCUCAGGAUGAACGCCGGCGGUGUGCCUAAUACAUGCAAGUCGUACGCAC